GAUGAACGCUAGCGGCAGGCUUAAUACAUGCAAGUCGAGGGGCAGCAUGACUGUAGCAAUACAGUUGAUGGCGACCGGCAAACGGGUGCGGAACACGUACAGAACCUUCCUUCGAGCGGGGAGUAGCCCAGAGAAAUUUGGAUUAAUACCCCAUAGUAUUACGGAGUGGCAUCACUUUGUAGUUAAAGAUUUAUCACUUGAAGAUGGCUGUGCGGCUGAUUAGGUAGUUGGCGGGGUAACGGCCAACCAAGCCUGCGAUCAGUAACUGGUGUGAGAGCACGACCAGUCACACGGGCACUGAGACACGGGCCCGACUCCUACGGGAGGCAGCAGUAAGGAAUAUUGGUCAAUGGACGAAAGUCUGAACCAGCCAUGCCGCGUGGAGGAUGAAGGUCCUCUGGAUUGUAAACUUCUUUUAUAUGGGACGAAAAAAGGCUUUUCUAAGUCGUCUGACGGUACCAUAUGAAUAAGCACCGGCUAACUCCGUGCCAGCAGCCGCAGUAAGAC
rnacentral:rRNA from 1 species